rnacentral:rRNA from 1 species
GAACCUCACCUGGGUUUGACAUGUACGUGGUACGGAUCUGAAAGGUGAAGGACGGUACCUUCGGGUACCGAGCGUACACAGGUGCUGCAUGGCUGUCGUCAGCUCGUAUCGUGAGAUGUUGGGUUAAGUCCCGCAACGAGCGCAACCCUACGCUGAGUUACCAGCACGUAAAGGUGGGGACUCUCAGUGGACUGCCGGCGACAAGCCGGAGGAGGUGGGGACGACGUCAAGUCAUCAUGGCCCUCAUGUCCAGGGCGACACACGUGCUACAAUGGCCGGCACAACGGGAAGCGACGGCGCGAGUCGUAGCGGAUCCCUCAAAGCCGGUCCCAGUUCGGAUUGCAGUCUGCAACUCGACUGCAUGAAGCCGGAAUCGCUAGUAAUCGUGGAUCAGCCAAGCCGCGGUGAAUACGUUCCCGGGCCUU